AACGAACGCUGGCGGCAUGCCUAACACAUGCAAGUCGAACGAGACCUUCGGGUCUAGUGGCGCACGGGUGCGUAACGCGUGGGAACCUGCCCUUAUGUUCGGAAUAACUCCCCGACAGGGGUGCUAAUACCGGAUAAUGUCUUCGGACCAAAGAUUUAUUGCCUUUGGAUGGGCCCGCGUUGGAUUAGCUAGUUGGUAGGGUAAAAGCCUACCAAGGCGACGAUCCAUAGCUGGUCUGUGAGGAUGAUCAGCCACACUGGGACUGAGACACGGCCCAGACUCCUACGGGAGGCAGCAGUGGGGAAUAUUGGACAACGGGCGAAAGCCUGAUCCAGCAAUGCCGCGUGAGUGAUGAAGGCCUGAGGGUUGUAAAGCUCUUUUACCCGGGAUGAUAAUGACAGUACCGGGAGAAUAAGCCCCGGCUAACUCCGUG
rnacentral:rRNA from 1 species